rnacentral:sRNA from 1 species
UUGACAACCCUGCAAAAAAGUCUUCAAUUUAUCCAGAACAGGUAAAUGCUGGACAACAGCACUGCAAGCUUCUCCCCAGUGCUCACAAACCUGAACGUAGGAGACUGAGGGGUUUCUCAAGGGUGAGAAGACAGCUUAUUCUUUAUGUCCCACUUGGGCCAGC